rnacentral:ncRNA from 1 species
CCCUCCGAGUCUUUGGACCUAAGGCGUCCGCUAUGGACCAUAGACCGGGGUUGUAUUGGAAACGAUACAGCCUCCCGUUGUGGAAAGGAGAACAAUAUG